rnacentral:rRNA from 1 species
UACAGAGGGUGCAAGCGUUAAUCGGAAUUACUGGGCGUAAAGCGCACGUAGGCGGCUUGGCAAGUUGGAUGUGAAAUCCCCGGGCUCAACCUGGGAACUGCUUUCGAUACUGUCUGACUAGAAUUCGGUAGAGGGAGGCGGAACUCCAGGUGUAGCGGUGAAAUGCGUAGAUAUCUGGAAGAACACCAAUGGCGAAGGCAACCUCCUGGGCCUGAAUUGACACUGAGACGCGAAAGCGUGGGGAUCAAACAGG